rnacentral:rRNA from 1 species
AUUGAACGCUGGCGGCGUGCUUAACACAUGCAAGUCGAGCGGAGCGGCGAACGGGUGAGUAACGCGUGAGUAACUGCCCCCCUCUCUGGGAUAACAGUUGGAAACGGCUGCUAAUACCGGAUAGUGGGGGAUGACUCGCGUCCUAUCAGCUUGGUGGUGGGGUAUUGGCAUACCAAGGCGACGACGGGUAGCCGGCCCUAGAGGGCGACAGGCCACAUUGGGCAUAGAUACUGGCCAAACGCCUACGGGAGGCAGCAGUGGGGAAUAUUGCGCAAUGGGGGAAACCCUGAUGCAGCAACGCCGCGUGCGGGAUGACGGCCUUCGGGUUGUAAACCGCUUUCAGCCAUGACGCGGUAGUGGCAGAAGAAGCACCGGCUAACUACGUGCCAGCAGCCGCGGUAAUAC